GAUGAACGCUAGCGGCAGGCUUAACACAUGCAAGUCGAGGGGUAUAGUUAGCUUGCUAACUAGAGACCGGCGCACGGGUGCGUAACGCGUAUGCAAUCUACCUUUUACAGAGGGAUAGCCCAGAGAAAUUUGGAUUAAUACCUCAUAGUAUCUUUGCCUGGCAUCAGGUGAUUAUUAAAGUUCCAACGGUAAAAGAUGAGCAUGCGUCCUAUUAGCUAGAUGGUAAGGUAACGGCUUACCAUGGCAACGAUAGGUAGGGGUCCUGAGAGGGAGAUCCCCAACACUGGUACUGAGACACGGACCAGACUCCUACGGGAGGCAGCAGUGAGGAAUAUUGGACAAUGGGCGCAAGCCUGAUCCAGCCAUGCCGCGUGCAGGAAGAAGCAUCUAUGGUGUGUAAACUGCUUUUGUACGGGAAGAAACACUCCCUCGUGAGGGAGCUUGACGGUACCGUAAGAAUAAGGAUCGGCUAACUCCGUGCCAGCCGCCGCAGUAACAC
rnacentral:rRNA from 1 species